CCGCGGGAUUAGAGUUUGAUCCUGGCUCAGGACGAACGCUGGCGGCGUGCUUAACACAUGCAAGUCGAACGGGCCUGUGGCACUUGUGUCGCGGGUUAGUGGCGAACGGGUGAGUAACACGUGAGUAACCUGCCCCAGACUCUGGGAUAACUCCGGGAAACCGGUGCUAAUACUGGAUAUGACAUCAAGCCGCAUGGUUAUGGUGUGGAAAGUUCUUCGGUCUGGGAUGGGCUCGCGGCCUAUCAGCUUGUUGGUGAGGUAGUGGCUCACCAAGGCGACGACGGGUAGCCGGCCUGAGAGGGCGAUCGGCCACACUGGGACUGAGACACGGCCCAGACUCCUACGGGAGGCAGCAGUGGGGAAUAUUGCACAAUGGGCGCAAGCCUGAUGCAGCGACGCCGCGUGAGGGAUGACGGCCUUCGGGUUGUAAACCUCUUUCAGCAGGGGAGAAGCCUUUCGGGGUGACGGUACCUGCAGAAGAAGCACCGGCUAACUACGUGCCAGCAGCCGCGGUAAUACGUAGGGUGCGAGCGUUGUCCGGAAUUAUUGGGCGUAAAGAGCUUGUAGGCGGUUUGUCGCGUCUGCUGUGAAAAUCCGGGGCUCAACCCCGGACUUGCAGUGGGUACGGGCAGACUAGAGUGUGGUAGGGGAGACUGGAAUUCCUGGUGUAGCGGUGGAAUGCGCAGAUAUCAGGAGGAACACCGAUGGCGAAGGCAGGUCUCUGGGCCAUUACUGACGCUGAGAAGCGAAAGCAUGGGGAGCAAACAGGAUUAGAUACCCUGGUAGUCCAUGCCGUAAACGUUGGGAA
rnacentral:rRNA from 1 species